rnacentral:rRNA from 1 species
UGGGGAAUAUUGCGCAAUGGGCGAAAGCCUGACGCAGCAACGCCGCGUGAGGGAUGACGGCCUUCGGGUUGUAAACCUCUUUCAGCAGGGACGAAGCGAAAGUGACUGUACCUGCAGAAGAAGCGCCGGCUAACUACGUGCCAGCAGCCGCGGUAAUACGUAGGGCGCAAGCGUUGUCCGGAUUUAUUGGGCGUAAAGAGUUCGUAGGCGGUCUGUCGCGUCGGAAGGGAAAACCCGGAGCUCAACUCC